AACGAACGCUGGCGGCAGGCUUAACACAUGCAAGUCGAGCGCCCCGCAAGGGGAGCGGCAGACGGGUGAGUAACGCGUGGGAAUCUACCCAUCUCUACGGAAUAACGCAUGGAAACGUGUGCUAAUACCGUAUACGUCCUUCGGGAGAAAGAUUUAUAGGAGAUGGAUGAGCCCGCGUUGGAUUAGCUAGCUGGUGGGGUAAAGGCCUACCAAGGCGACGAUCCAUAGCUGGUCUGAGAGGAUGAUCAGCCACACUGGGACUGAGACACGGCCCAGACUCCUACGGGAGGCAGCAGUGGGGAAUAUUGGACAAUGGGCGCAAGCCUGAUCCAGCCAUGCCGCGUGAGUGAUGAAGGCCCUAGGGUUGUAAAGCUCUUUCACCGGUGAAGAUAAUGACGGUAACCGGAGAAGAAGCCCCGGCUAACUUCGUGCCAGCCGCCGCCGUAAGAC
rnacentral:rRNA from 1 species